rnacentral:lncRNA from 1 species
UGUCUACCAUAUGGAUCACUAUUGCCAAAGUAGUGCUUCUUUUCUUCUUAUGUCAUUGGUAAUAGAAAGUUGGGAACUACUAUAAAUUUUGAAUACUUGUCUUUACAUGUGCUACAUGGACCACUAUUGCCAUACUUGGUGGGUAUUAUCACCUUCCUCUUACAUCAUGUAUAGUGGAAAGAUGAAUGUCAUUAUUUAUUUUGGACACUUAUCCUCUGUAUUG